UGUCAUAGUGUACAUCCCCAGUGUGAGUGUGAACAUCAGAGAACUUCAGUGUGAAUGAGGAGAUAGCUCAGUAAAGUACUUUUGUGCAGAUAUGAAGACCGGAGUUCAACAACCAGCACCCACAUAAAUUAAAAAAUCAAAACCAACUAGCAUUGAUGAUGCAUACUUGUUAUCGCAGUGCUAGGGGGGCACUUGGCUAUUCAUACUGGCCUAAGUCUGUCAUUGCUCUAUCAUGUGGGAAGCAGGAUCUCUUGAUGUUUGCUGCUGCACACCCCCAAGCUAUUUGGCCCAUUGUCUUCUACUGCUACUCUUGUCUCUGCCUCCUAUCUUACUCUAGGAGCACUAGAAUCACAGACAAAGGCUACUGCAUCUAGCUUUAUGUGGGUUCUGAGAAUUUUAAUUUGGAUCUUCAUACUUGCAGGACAAAUGCUUUACCCACUGAGCCAUUUCCCAAGCACCCUUGUUUUUUAAAUGUUAUUCUAUGAUUAUUACUGGGGUGGGCAUGUACAUGGCGGUCAAAGGAUAACUUUAUGGAAUUCGUUCUCUUCUUUCACCUUUAUGUGGAUUCUAGGGAAUAAACUCAAGUCAUGAAACUUUUUGUUUUUUAAUGUAUGUGGAGCUGGUAAUUGAGCCCUGGUCCUCACGCUUUUACAAUAAGCACCUUACCAAGUUGUCUCCUCAGCCUUGGAUGGGAUUUGUUUGUAAAGAAAAGCUUUCUUUCUUCACCUGAAGAUACUUGUUGCUCCUGAGAGAUGCUUGUUGAAAAAGAUAAGCAAAUAACAAUUUUUUAAUUCAUUAUUGUUAAGGUGCUAUUUAAAAGUUAUGCCAAAAACUUCAAGAAUUCAUUAUUUGAUUGGUGCCUAUAAAAUAAUAAUCUUCAAUAGGUAGUGUGUGCUAUAUAUCAAGUCAUUUGCACCAAUUAUAAAUUUUGAGAAAGAAGAAAGAUCAGUGGGAUCAGUGAGGCCCCAAAUAUUUUAUGUUAUUAUUCUUUUGAGGGAUAGGCAUGUUUUAUAUAUGCAAAAGGAAAAUAGAUCUGAACAGGCAGUUCAGAUGAUUAGUGUAAGUAUGGAGGGAAGGAUAAUGCAGUGUCAUACUCGGGAGGUGCAAUGAGGAAGCCAUUUGUCUGAAGAAGCAGAAAGUAAUGGUGUUUAGCCUGUUUUCUGCGGCUGUAAUGGAAUAUUACAACUGAGUAAAUUCUAAAUAAAAGACUAUUUUUCUCAUGGUUCUAGAAGUUGGAAGUGUAAGAGCAUGUUGCUGGCGUGGUAUAGGCCUUCAUGCUAAAUUGUCCCAGAAAUAGAAAGCAUCAUAUAUUAAAAGAGUAGGAGGGAAAAUGAGAGUCGAAAUACACCCCUUUUAAUACCUAACCCAUGCCUGCAAUAAUAGCUUUAUACCACUCUGGAAAACGGUGCUAUUGUGACCUAAUUUGCCUCUUAAAGGUCUCCCUUCUAAUACUGUUGAAAUGAUAAUUAAGUUUCCACAUGAAGUUUGGAGGGAGUGUUUAAACCAUAGCAAUAGGUGAGGAAACAGGUUUGGGAAAGUAAGUAAAUCAGGAACAACAAGGAUAUGAAACACAUGAACAAUGUUAAAUGCCAGUUCAAGGAGGUUAAUUUGUAUUCAUCUAUGCCUUGGUUAUUAAAUAGGGCUUUGUGAAAAGCUAGAAGCAAGAAGAACAGUAUAACUACCUUUGGAAUAGUAGGAAGUUGAAGAAUAUAAUAUACAAAUAAAUUAACAUCCUGUUUCCCUUGCAGCCCGUGUGACUCCAACCCUACCCAAGCAGGACCGUCCUGUUCGUGAAGGGACCAGAGUUGCCUCCAUUGAGACAGGCUUGGCUGCAGCCGCUGCAAAGCUUGCCCAGCAGGAACUGCAAAAGGCCCAAAAGAAGAAAUAUAUCAAGAAGAAGCCUUUGCUGAAGGAGGUAGAACAGCCUCGCCCUCAAGAUUCCAAUACCACCAUGACAAUGCCUGCACCAACACUGGCUACUACACCCCAGCCUGUCACCUCCUCCUCACCCCAGCCACCUCCUGAGCCUAAACAAGAGGCUCUGUCAGGAAGUCUUGCUGACCAUGAGUACACUGCUCGUCCCAAUGCCUUUGGCAUGGCUCAGGCAAAUCGCAGCACCACACCUAUGGCCCCUGGAGUCUUCCUCACCCAGCGGCGCCCUUCAGUUGGUUCCCAGAGCAGUCAGGCAGGACAAGGAAAGCGUCCGAAAAAGGGCCUGGCCACAGCAAAGCAAAGACUCGGCCGCAUCCUGAAAAUCCACAGAAAUGGCAAGUUACUUCUGUGAGACAAGCCCCGUCAUGUCCUACUCCUUCAUCCCUUCACCCCCAUUGCCUUCUUCGUUGUCAACUCGGGGCACUCCUGGAUCCUAUGAGCCCCAGACAAGGUGCAUUGUCCUGCUUUCUUGGGACUGACCAAAGGCACGGACUAUCCCCAACUCCCUUUCCCACUUCCCCUAUGAGUAUCCUACCUUCUCUUUCCAUACCCAUAAGUAGCAGGUAAAUGGGAGAAGUUUCCAACUGACAAGAACUUUUCCUGUUCCACCCACAUAUUUCACUUACACCUUGUCUUUAUUCUUUUCCACCACUCCUCCAUAUGGAAGGAAUGAUGAGGAGCAGCAUAAAGGGAGUCUGGGCCCUUCAGUUUCCUCAGCCAUGGAUUGAGAGGCCCAGUGCUCAACAUUUUCGGCACAUUUAGCCCUGUCUCUAAGCCUGCCCACCUCCACCCAUUCCUACCCCUUCCUCACAACCAAUGGAUAUACCCUACCUUCAGUCUUGUUCCUGAUAGAAGGUUGUGGUCUUUAUCUCCUUUUACCUCUUUUCAUGACAAAAAUGAAAAGGGUCUUUAUGACCCUUACAGGCCAUCUCCAGAGCUGGCCUAGAAAAGCUGACUAUCUGUCUUUUGGGGUUCGGGGGUGGGGUUCCUUUUACUUUUUGAGGUGGAAGAAGAAACAGAUACCCAAGCCUUUGACCAUGGUUGUUGGCCUAGCCUACCAGAGGAAACUACUUUUGUCUGACUGCACAUGAAGCCCCUAUGAUGAUCUUCAGGAAUUUGCCUGUAUUUUUGAGGCCCUGUAGAACAUUAUCCCCUUAGCUAUAACUGGGUUCCAGCAGGUACAAACUCACCUCCUAGAAAUCUGAAGUGCCAGCCACACUGAUAACUCUGGCUCUAGCCUGCUCUACCACCCCAACUGUACCUGGCUUUAGCCUGGACCUUCUGAAGAGGCAGGUGGUGAAACAACCUAACCCUGCAGGUCAUUAUCAGGAACUUCCAUGUUUCUUUCCACAUCUGAGCUUAGUCUAAAGAAGAUUUCAGGACUAAGAUCUUCACUCCUGGGACUUUUCACUUUCAGACCGCAGGCCAACAGUCAAGCAUAGUGCAGAUAGACUAUUCAAGUCUGAAGUUAGAAACGAUGCCCAUCUGUGAAGUAGCAGAUAUUCUGAUCCACUUUUCUCUCCUUUUGAUUGUCACUAUUUUCUAGGAGAGUGUCCCCACCUCCCUCUUUGUCUUGCCUUUACUGGCAAUCUGGACUUGAUGGAGACUGCCCCUUCUGAACAACCCGUUUUGGCACUGCCCAAGUGGGAGUGUCCUCUACCUUCCACUCGUCCUCAUCCCAGCUUGCCUAGGGCUUCUGGGGAAUUUAACAGCUAUGAUGCAGACCACAGGGAAUUUGUGAGGCCUCUGUGUUAUCUUUUAUGUUUGUGGCUUAUCUUUCUUUUUUCUAUAGAUAUAUCUAUACCCUCCAUCCUUGUUGAAAUGGGGGAGGGUACUUUAGAAUAUUUGCUUUUUCUACCUUGGGGACCCCCAGGGGCCAAGCAGUCCUCCUUUAGUCACACCAAAGGCAAAAGGCCUGGCUACCUCCCCUUUAGCACGUGAGGUCCCUACUCCCCUCCUUUCUACUCAGCUUUGCUCAUCUUGGAGAUUUCAAGGCAGCAGUGGGGAAGUAAGGGGAAAGCAGGGGAAGCUUCUGACCCUGUAUGGGCAACUUCCUGACUAAAGGCUGACUGUUGUCACCAAAAACAGGUCCCUAGCCCUUACACCUAUUAAAACUCCCUCUUGAUCUUUCAAAGGCAGCUAAUUGCUAGCACCCUCUCCCUACCCAUUCCAGGCCUCUUUUCCCUCUGUUUCUUUGUUAGAAGGUUCUGUGGAGCUGAAACCCACCCUCUAAUGGGGUUUGUUUAGUUUAGUUGGGUUCUCAGAGUCUCCUGUUAUUUUGUGUUGUUUCCAAUGAAAAGCAAGUUUACCCUCAAAGUUAUGCUUUUCCAAAGAAGCUAGUGUGUUGUUGUUGUUGUUGUUGCUGUUGUUGUUGUUUUGUUUGUUUUGUUUUUAUGUUUCAGGUUCUAAGUGAAGUGAGGUGGAGAGGAGUUGGGAAUAACCAAGGUUUAGACAUGGUGAGAUAGUUACCUCUGAUCUGCAAACCCCAGCAGAGAGCUAGGGUAGGAUAAGAGGGCAGAGAGGAUUUCUAUUCACCUUUAAUAUAUUUUUACAAAAAAGCAAACAAUUUAAAAACAAACCCACCGCUUCUGUACAUGUCUAAAUAUAUUUUUAGAAGUGGGUAGGAUUGUGAUUUCUGAUGCAGGGCCUUUUUAUAAAUAGGUUAGAGUAGCCUCAUCCAGAUUUCUCUGUUGUUUGUUCCCCUUGUUUUUUCUUAUGUUGUGUUACUAAUGUAAUUUAUAUAUUUUUUAGAUCUCCCUUUCCUGUAGAGAUAAAAGUGAUUUAUCUGGCAAUU